rnacentral:misc_RNA from 1 species
UGGACUACCAGCCACACCAGC